AUGGGCGUCAACAACGCCUAUGGCGCCAUCCACGACAUUGAGCGCCUGCUAGUGAAGCCGGACACGGAUGCCAAGACGAAGGUGGCCCUUGGGCAAUGCCAAGGGUUGCACGUCAACAUGAAGUUCGCGUUUGCCGGAGCCUACGAUGAGAUCAACGGCCGGAAUUACGCCAUGGGGAAGGAGGAGGCAGCAAAGGCCGUCUCCCUGGCGCACCAGUGCGACGAUGCCUUUGUGAAGGCCGCCGUCCCAUCGCCUCUCAAGCAACGUAGCCUCUACUCCUUGCAGAUAGCGAUCGUCUGCACAGCCAUCACUAACCUUAUCAAGUGA
rnacentral:rRNA from 1 species